rnacentral:rRNA from 1 species
ACGGAAGGCAGCAGUGGGGAAUAUUGGACAAUGGGGGAAACCCUGAUCCAGCGACGCCGCGUGAGUGAAGAAGUAUUUCGGUAUGUAAAGCUCUAUCAGCAGGGAAGAUAAUGACGGUACCUGACUAAGAAGCCCCGGCUAACUACGUGCCAGCAGCCGCGGUAGUACGUAGGGGGCAAGCGUUAUCCGGAUUUACUGGGUGUAAAGGGAGCGUAGACGGCAUGGCAAGUCUGAUGUGAAAACCCGGGGCUCAACCCCGGGACUGCAUUGGAAACUGUCAGGCUUGAGUGCAGGAGAGGUAAGUGGAAUUCCUAGUGUAGCGGUGAAAUGCGUAGAUAUUAGGAGGAACACCAGUGGCGAAGGCGGCUUACUGGACUGUAACUGACGUUGAGGCUCGAAAGCGUGGGGGGCAAACAGGAUUAGAUACCCUGGUA